AAACUUUUUCCCGCCUCGAAGGCGCUGUUAGGAUUCAGAGGAAGAAGUUGGCGAUGACCAGUCGGAAUCCUUUAUUUGAAUGGAAUUUAUGCAUCACGUAUGAGGUGCAUGAAUAUGAAACAGCAUAACAGUGACAGGUUAGCCCCUCCGGAAGAAAUACCUCUGCUGCCGAGAAGACUAUACCUCUCUCGUAGCUCGAGGCAACCGAGUUGACGAGCAAAGGCAGUGGAGCUGUAUAACUACCUGCGAAGUGGACCAAGCCUGCUUUCAAUGCAAUGGUGGGUGGACAAUCUGACAGACAAAGACAAAAAAGCGACUAAGAAGAGAAGCUGCCCCUGAUCCUGCGACCACUACUGAUACAACUAAAAGGACACUCGAAAGUGGUCCACAAAGCCAUGACAGGCCGCCAGACGGCUAAAGAAUUGAUUGACACUGUUGAACCAUUAUCACCUUUUUACAUAAGGAGACGAGCAGGGAAAAAACUGC